rnacentral:rRNA from 1 species
CCCUUAGAUGUCCUGGGCUGCACGCGCGCUACACUGGAAGUUACGGAUUGAGAUACUACCUUGUCCGAAAUGGUCCGGGUAAUCACCUAAAAACUUGUCAUAAUUGGAAUGGAUUAUUGUAACUAGUAAUCCUGAACGAGGAAUUCCUAGUAAGUCCCAGUCAACAGCUGGUACUGAUUACGUCCCUGCCCUUUGUACACACCGCCCGUCGCUACUACUGAUUGGACGUUUAAGCAAGAUUUUUAAACACUGACAGUGUGUAGUUCACGCUAUACUACAGUGAGAAGAAGAAGAUCGAGCUUACUUGUCUAGAGGAAGUAAAAGUCGUAACA